AAAAGGGGAGCUGACGCGUCGGCUGAGAAGAAAUACGAACGGAUUUCGACCCUAUGAACCUGAUACGGAUAAUGCCGGCGUAGGAAGCAUAUUUU
rnacentral:ncRNA from 1 species